AGGACUAACGCUGGCGGCGUGCCUAACACAUGCAAGUCGAACGAGAGUAGCAAUACUCUAGUGGCAGACGGGUGAGUAACACGUGGUCAACCUACCUCUAUGUGGGGGAUAACUAGCCGAAAGGUUAGCUAAUACCGCAUACGAUCGUCGAGCGGCAUCGCUUGACGAUGAAAGGAGCAAUCCGCAGAGAGACGGGACCGCGUCCCAUUAGCUAGUUGGUGGGGUAAUGGCCUACCAAGGCGACGAUGGGUAGCUGGCUUGAGAGAGCGACCAGCCACACUGGGACUGAGACACGGCCCAGACUCCUACGGGAGGCAGCAGUGAGGAAUUUUCCGCAAUGGGCGAAAGCCUGACGGAGCGACGCCGCGUGUGGGAAGAAGGCCUUCGGGUCGUAACCACUGUCGAAGGGGAAGAUAUUGACGGUACCCUUGGAGGAAGCCCCGGCUAACUACGCGCCAGCAGCCGC
rnacentral:rRNA from 1 species